UAUUUUAAUUUUUUGCCAGCCGCCGCGGUAAUACGGAAGGUCCGGGCGUUAUCCGGAUUUAUUGGGUUUAAAGGGAGCGUAGGCCGGAGAUUAAGCGUGUUGUGAAAUGUAGACGCUCAACGUCUGCACUGCAGCGCGAACUGGUCUUCUUGAGUACGCACAACGUGGGCGGAAUUCGUGGUGUAGCGGUGAAAUGCUUAGAUAUCACGAAGAACUCCGAUUGCGAAGGCAGUUCACGGGAGCGCAACUGACGCUGAAGCUCGAAAGUGCGGGUAUCGAACAGG
rnacentral:rRNA from 1 species